rnacentral:rRNA from 1 species
CAAUAGCGUAUAUUUAAGUUGUUGCAGUUAAAAAGCUCGUAGUUGGAUUUCGGAUGGGACUUGCCGGUCCGUCGUUUCGAUGUGCACUGGCCAGUCCUAUCUUGUUGUCGGGGACUAGCUCCUGGGCUUCACUGUCCGGGACUAGGAGCUGACGAGGUUACUUUGAGUAAAUUAGAGUGUUCAAAGCAAGCCUACGCUCUGAAUACAUUAGCAUGGAAUAACACGAUAGGACUCUGGCUUAUCUUGUUGGUCUGUGAGACCAGAGUAAUGAUUAAGAGGGACAGUCGGGGGCAUUCGUAUUUCAUUGUCAGAGGUGAAAUUCUUGGAUUUAUGAAAGACAAACUUCUGCGAAAGCAUUUGUCAAGGAUGUUUNCAUUAA